GUAGUAUGAAACUUGGCCACAUGCUAUCCACAAAACACCUUUCACUAUCCAGUUUCUGAUAAUCAGUUAAACCAUAGCCCUUCCACAAACUUUCCCUCCCCUUCUUCUUCAACAAUCCAACAAACAAAAAUGUCAGUAGCAUCAUCUUCUUCCUUCCCCUGCAUCAAAAUUCAAAACCCAUCUUCUUCUUCAUUAUCAUCCUAUAAUUUCAGAUUUUCUACUACACUUACCAUUAGGAGUUCUCAAGCUGAUGGCCCUUUAAGAAGACCUAUGGUACAACCCCCAACCCCUCUCAAACCUACCCCACCAUCACCACCUUCAACUUCUUCGCCACCGCCUCCGUCUCCGCCUAGUGCUCCGCUUAAGCAGGUUGCAGUGGAGGGCAAAAAUGUAAUUACCAUGGAAUUUCAGAGGCAAAAGGCUAAGGAGCUUCAAGAGUAUUUCAAGCAGAAGAAGCUUGAGCAAGCGAAUCAAGGUCCCUUCUUUGGCUUUAUUGGCAAGAAUGAGAUUUCUAAUGGCAGACUCUUAACAAUGGGCAUUCGGAAGCAUUGAUAAAAAAAAGUGGUAUUUUCUUGAUGGGAUGGACAACCAAACGUGCAGCCAAGCUAUGUUGGAGUUAGAAACAUAGUAGGAAAACGCGCUGCAGUUCACUUUACGAAAUAGUGGCUCUGAUACCAGACACCAGAAAGACUUUUCAGGCUUAUGAUGAUCGAUCGAUCAUAACUCUCAUGUCCUUCACAGUUAUAGAGACAUACAUUCUUUCAGGUGUAGCUGACUUUCUAAAACAAUUUUGUGGUAGCUGACAUACAUCCUUUUGCCGUUGUUUAUUAUCAAUUGCUUAGAGGUGGUAAAAAGACGUAUAAGUUGAUGGGCAAUGUUUGGUUUUGCUGUUGGGAUGUUAACAGAAUAUGCAACUGGUUCUGACUUUGUGGAUCAAGUUAAGAUCCUUCUCUCAAAUUUUGGGAUACUAGACUUGGAAUGAGGUUCCUCCAUAUCACUAAAUCUUGCCAUAAGAUACUUUCCUUUGUAAUUUUCUGUAAAAGAAAUACAAUUGCUUUCUUUCAAAUUUCAUUUGUUUGAGCCCCUUCAUUCUACUAUAUACAGUAUAGUUAACACACUCCUACCUGUGUUAUUAUUCACGUAAGAAAAGGAAACAACUGAUAGUUUUGAUGUGAAUUUGUGAAAAAAAAGUGAUAGUUCAUUA